AUUGAACGCUGGCGGCAGGCCUAACACAUGCAAGUCGAGCGGAUGAAGGGAGCUUGCUCCUGGAUUCAGCGGCGGACGGGUGAGUAAUGCCUAGGAAUCUGCCUGGUAGUGGGGGAUAACGUCCGGAAACGGGCGCUAAUACCGCAUACGUCCUGAGGGAGAAAGUGGGGGAUCUUCGGACCUCUCGCUAUCAGAUGAGCCUAGGUCGGAUUAGCUAGUUGGUGGGGUAAAGGCCUACCAAGGCGACGAUCCGUAACUGGUCUGAGAGGAUGAUCAGUCACACUGGAACUGAGACACGGUCCAGACUACUACGGGAGGCAGCAGUGGGGAAUAUUGGACAAUGGGCGAAAGCCUGAUCCAGCCAUGCCGCGUGUGUGAAGAAGGUCUUCGGAUUGUAAAGCACUUUAAGUUGGGAGGAAGGGCAGUAAGUUAAUACCUUGCUGUUUUGACGUUACCAACAGAAUAAGCACCGGCUAACUUCGUG
rnacentral:rRNA from 1 species